rnacentral:lncRNA from 1 species
UUGCAACAAGUAUAGUUGUUAUUUGAACAAUAACUUACAUCAACUUUUACAUCCAAAUGCCAAGUAGAAGCUUGCGCAUCUAUGAUGAGUUUCUGUAGUGGAAUAACUAAAAAGUACAAUAACUGCUACCACGUCACUGCCAUGUAGGCAAUGACAAUAACUAGUAAAAAAAAAAAAAAAAAAAAAAAAAAAAAACUUGCAGCUUGA